GUAGCGGCGAGCGAAACGGGAAGAGCCCAAACCAACAAGCUUGCUUGUUGGGGUUGUAGGACUCCGAUAUGGUAGUCUGUUAGUAUAGUUGAAGGAUUUGGAAAAGUCCGCUAAAGAGGGUGAAAGCCCCGUAGACGAAAUGCUGACAACACCUAGGAGGAUCCUGAGUACGGCGGAACACGAGAAAUUCCGUCGGAAUCCGCGGGGACCAUCCCGCAAGGCUAAAUACUCCCUAGUGACCGAUAGUGAACCAGUACCGUGAGGGAAAGGUGAAAAGCACCCCGGAAGGGGAGUGAAAUAGAUCCUGAAACCGUGUGCCUACAACAAGUCAAAGCUCGUUAAUGAGUGAUGGCGUGCCUUUUGUAGAAUGAACCGGCGAGUUACGAUUGCAUGCGAGGUUAAGUCGAAGAGACGGAGCCGCAGCGAAAGCGAGUCUGAAUAGGGCGAAUGAGUAUGUAGUCGUAGACCCGAAACCAUGUGAUCUACCCAUGUCCAGGUUGAAGGUGCGGUAAAACGCACUGGAGGACCGAACCCACGUACGUUGAAAAGUGCGGGGAUGAGGUGUGGGUAGCGGAGAAAUUCCAAACGAACUUGGAGAUAGC
rnacentral:rRNA from 1 species